rnacentral:rRNA from 1 species
GACGAACGCUGGCGGCGUGCCUAAUACAUGCAAGUAGAACGCAGUUGCGAACGGGUGAGUAACGCGUAGGUAACUGCCUCAAAGCGGGGGAUAACUAUUGGAAACGAUAGCUAAUACCGCCAACUGUGCGCUGGACAUGCGUUGUAUUAGCUAGUUGGAGGGGUAAAGGCUCACCAAGGCGACGAUACAACGUCGAACUGGGAGGGGUGUCGGCCCAACCGGGAAUUGGGCAAGGCCCCAUCGCCUACGGGAGGCCGCCGGUAGGAAUCCUCGGGAAAGGACGGAAGUCUUACCCGGCAACGCCGUGUGAGUGAAGAAGGGUUUCGGAUCGGAAAGCGCUGGUUGUUGAAAAACGGUAUCUAACCAGAAAGGGACGGCUAACUACGUGCCAGCAGCCGCGGUAAUAC